GACUGAGUGAGAUAGAGGAAAGGAGGGAGGGGGCGAGAGAAAGAAAGAUACAUAUUGUUAGUUAAUUCAAAGAUAAACUUUAUUCAAGGAACUGUCUGUAAGAUUAAGAAAUCGUAAGACUAAAAUAUAGACUGAAUAGUAAACUUUCCUACAAUUCCAUCGGUGUUUUUAAUAGGUAGUCUAGUUUAACAAUAAAACCAGCUGGUGGGAGCAAGGUGUCCUACCCCCUGCCGUUUAAGUCUGCCCCUCCCUAACCCUCUGCCCCGAGGCCAGAGCUCUGGGCAUCCAUGCCCACACCCCCAUCUUACUGCGCUGGUGGACAGACACAGGGAUGAGCAACAGCGGGACCAAGGAGCCGUCACCACAGCCAGGCGUGGCCCAAUCACCUAACUCUACACCUCCACGCAGGGGCCGGGGUCGCCCACGGAAACAACAGGAGGAGCCCACUGGCCCCCCAACUCCAAAGAGGCCGAGAGGACGACCCAGAGGAAGCAAGAACAAAGGCCCUCAUGCCACACCCAAGGAAGUAGAGCCUGUCGGGGAGAGAAGACCAAGGGGCCGGCCGAGGAAAUGGGGGGUGGCAGAUAGCCUAGUGGUUAGAGCGUUGGGCCAGUAACCGAAAGGUUGCUAGAUCGAACCCCGAGCUGACAAGCCUCAGAGAGUAGUUCAAGAAGUCGUCCAAGGACAGCAGGGUCCUUCAGAAGUAACUGAAGUAACUGUAACACAGUCACAGUCUUUACCCACUGAGGCUUCGCCAUCUCACCCUCCAGCCCAGGAAGAAGCAGAGGGGGAAUAGACAAUGUGCCACAGUACUACCUCAAGGUUUGGGCAGAGACAGAGGUGUAUACUCUUAGAAAAAAGGGUUCCAAAAGGGUUCUUUGUCUGUCCCCAUAGGAGAACCCUUUGGGUUCCGGGUAGAACACUUUUUGGUUCAAGGUAGAACAUUUUUAAAUUCCAUGUAGAACCUUCUGUGGGUUCUUCAUGCAAACAAUAAGGGUUCUAUGGGGACAGCCAAAGAACCCUUUUAGGUUCUAGAUAGCACCUUUUUUUCUAAGAGUGUAUAAUCCAACCUCCACUGUCAUGAGGAUCUAAAACAACAGAUAAUAGCCCUGCUUUGUAGAACAGUAGGCCUGUUUGGGUUAUUGUGCCUGGAGUCUAUCCAGCCCUGAGGCUGGGUCAAUGAUGGACAUAGCUUUGGUCAGUGGGAUUGAUUACUAAGGAUUUGGUCAAUCCGUGCAACAAUUCAGUUUGACUGCCCAAACCCUUUCUCAUGAACAAGGUUGGUGUGUGUGUGUGUGUGUGUGUGUGUGUGUGUGUGUGUGUGUGUGUGUGUGUGUGUGUGUGUGUGUGUGUGUGUGUGUGUGUGUGUGUGUGUGUGUGUGUGUGUGUGUGUGUGUGUGUGUGUGUGUGUGUGUGAGCACGUACGUGUGUAUGUGGUGGUGGUGAUGAUGGUGGGGAAGGGUUUUCAAAAGAAAAGGAUGCAUUUCAAACAGCGGCUACUGGGACAAGAGGCAUGACCCAAUUUACGUUAUGUCUGUCCUGAUUGUGAAGAAACACAGGGAUAUUUUGUUGGAUAUAUAUUUGAAUGGGAAUACAUUUUACAUUACCAUUAACAUGAGCAGAUAUAAGUCUAAACUCAACAGUGUCCAAUUGACAUGACAUCGGACCACACUCAGGUUUUGUAUUUACCUUUAUCUUCUCAAUACACUCAUUAAAACCUCAGGUAUUUUGCCUUAAUGUAGCUAUGCAUUUAGCUAUUCAGGAACAUAUCAUUCUACUCAGUUAUGAUAGUAUUCUAUUUUAUUGUGUAUUUCUGAUUUGUUUUUUGACAUUCACAAUAUGACUUGACACACAAACCUCAUUCAGACCUCAACACACCUCAGUCCCUUUACCUUUCAGUCUACCUCAGUCACGGAAAUCAGAGAACUCUUAUAGCCUCUCCCCAUACCAAAAAAACGAACACACACACAUACCUACUCAGGAUACUCCCAUACGUACUGUACCCACUAGCCUCACACUCUCCCUCCCACUUCCAUGCUGACAGACUCUUUAAGUGAAUCCCAGCAGAAGCCUUUAGUGGCUCUGAUGAAAUGCCUGUCUUGAGAAUUGAUCUAUCUACAGUACCUGGGUUCAAAAUGACCCAAUAUUUUACUGUUUGCUGUAGUUUUUACUUAUGUUUUAUUUGUUCUAUCACAACCUCUGUGAACCCUUACAUGUUCCCCUCGUAUCUUAUGUAAAAGGCUACGUCAUCAUUUGAUGUUCUCACAUUCACACUGCAGACGUUAGAUUAACAACCAUUUGAUGUUCUCACAUUCACACUGCAGACGUUAGAUUAACAACCAUUUGAUGUUCUCACAUUCACACUGCAGACGUUAGAUUAACAACCAUUUGAUGUUCUCACAUUCACACUGCAGACGUUAGAUUAACAACCAUUUGAUGUUCUCACAUUCACACUGCAGACGUUAGAUUAACAACCAUUUCAUGUUCUCACAUUCACACUGCAGACGUUAGAUUAACAACCAUUUCAUGUUCUCACAUUCACACUGCAGACGUUAGAUUAACAACCAUUUGAUGUUCUCACAUUCACACUGCAGACGUUAGAUUAACAACCAUUUGAUGUUCUCACAUUCACACUGCAGACGUUAGAUUAACAACCAUUUCAUGUUCUCACAUUCACACUGCAGACGUUAGAUUAACAACCAUUUCAUGUUCUCACAUUCACACUGCAGACGUUAGAUUAACAACCAUUUGAUGUUCUCACAUUCACACUGCAGACGUUAGAUUAACAACCAUUUGAUGUUCUCACAUUCACACUGCAGACGUUAGAUUAACAACCAUUUGAUGUUCUCACAUUCACACUGCAGACGUUAGAUUAACAACCAUUUGAUGAAUUGAUGUCAGUGACAUGUGAGAUAAAAGUUAACAUUUCGUUUUUUGGGCUCUUCCUGUAAUGUAUUUCUGGAGAGGGUGGACAAGUCCACAUAGUCUUUUUCUGUCAGUUGCAAGUUUCUAACCUAAACUCUAUCUUGUUCUUAUUACUUCACGUCUUUGGCUGGAAUUACUGUUUGCCAUGUGGACUACGUCUGAAACAGGUCUGCUUUUGGCACUGAGCACUGUCCCAGAGGGGUGGCUGACUGAUUUUAGCUUUGCUUGUCCCAUGUGAUCUUAUGAGACCUAUAGAACAUAUAUCUGCUGUCCACUCAUCUCACUAGGUUCAUAACAGCAUAUCCUACAGGUAAAUAAACCCGAAGUACUGCAUUGUGAUGUCAGUAAAAGUGCCUCCUAACCUAACUUCAUACCUCAGCAACGUCAGGAUAUCCACGGUCUAUAUGAUAUUGACAGUGUUGCUCUAUGAGCUUACUGAUAUAGAUACAGUAUAUUCAGUGUGUGUGUGUGUAUAUAAGUACACAUAUCUUAGGAGUUUGUCAUGUGCUUGUUGUAAUGCUUUUAUGUACAAGGGCUUUUAAAUAUUGAGUAGUGUAGUUGGGUCCUGUUAUCUCGUAACAUCUUCAGUUUUUAAGCUUUUCAUAUUUUUUUGCAACAUUUGGAAAUGUGUUCAUUUCAGUCUCCUUGAUCAUGUACUUCAUGAAGAUUUAUUUUCAAUGUAAUCCAUUUGAACUUGAAUACACAACUCAAAAUUGUGUUUUUUAGUUUGCCUUAGUUUGCCUGAUCUGUCUCGCUUUAUGGUGUGUUUUUGCAUGAGUAUAGAGGUGCUGCUUGGUCUGUCUGUUACCAAUAAAAGUAUCACAUAGCUA